UCGAACGGAAAGGUCUCUUCGGAGAUACUCGAGUGGCGAACGGGUGAGUAACACGUGGGUAAUCUGCCCUGCACUUCGGGAUAAGCCUGGGAAACUGGGUCUAAUACCGGAUAGGACCAUGAAGCGCAUGCUUUAUGGUGGAAAGCUUUUGCGGUGUGGGAUGGGCCCGCGGCCUAUCAGCUUGUUGGUGGGGUGACGGCCUACCAAGGCGACGACGGGUAGCCGGCCUGAGAGGGUGUCCGGCCACACUGGGACUGAGAUACGGCCCAGACUCCUACGGGAGGCAGCAGUGGGGAAUAUUGCACAAUGGGCGCAAGCCUGAUGCAGCGACGCCGCGUGGGGGAUGACGGCCUUCGGGUUGUAAACCUCUUUCAGCAGGGACGAAGCGCAAGUGACGGUACCUGCAGAAGAAGCACCGGCCAACUACGUGCCAGCAGCCGCGGUAAUACGUAAGGUGCGAGCGUUGUCCGGAAUUACUGGGCG
rnacentral:rRNA from 1 species